AGACGGAGGGUGCGAGCGUUGUUCGGAAUUAUUGGGCAUAAAGAGCAUGUAGGCGGUCUGUUAAGUCUGGUGUGAAAGCCCGGGGCUCAACCCCGGAAGUGCAUUGGAUACUGGCAGACUUGAGUAUGGGAGAGGAAAGCGGAAUUCCGAGUGUAGGAGUGAAAUCCGUAGAUAUUCGGAGGAACACCAGUGGCGAAGGCGGCUUUCUGGACCAAUACUGACGCUGAGAUGCGAAAGCGUGGGGAGCGAACAGGAUUAGAAACCCUAGUAGUCC
rnacentral:rRNA from 1 species